CCGGCGCACGGGUGCGUAACGCGUAUGCAACCUACCAUCAACAGGGGGAUAACACUGAGAAAUUGGUACUAAUACCCCAUAAUAUCUCAUGCGGCAUCGCAUGGGGUUGAAAACUCCGGUGGUUGAUGAUGGGCAUGCGUUGUAUUAGCUGGUUGGUGAGGUAACGGCUCACCAAGGCGACGAUACAUAGGGGGACUGAGAGGUUAACCCCCCCACAUUGGUACUGAGACACGGACCAAACUCCUACGGGAGGCAGCAG
rnacentral:rRNA from 1 species